rnacentral:rRNA from 1 species
UACGUAGGGACCGAGCGUUGUCCGGAAUCAUUGGGCGUAAAGAGCGUGUAGGCGGCCACUUAAGUCCUGCGUGAAAUCUUGCGGCUCAACCGCAAGCGGUCGUGGGAAACUGGGUGGCUAGAGUGCGGGAGAGGAGAGUGGAAUUCCUGGUGUAGCGGUGGAAUGCGCAGAUAUCAGGAAGAACACCGGUGGCGAAGGCGGGUCUCUGGGCCGAUACUGACGCUGAGGAGCGAAAGCGUGGGGAGCGAACAGG